rnacentral:rRNA from 1 species
UACGGAGGGUGCAAGCGUUAUCCGGAGUUACUGGGCUUAAAGGGUGUGUAGGCGGACUUUUAAGUCAGCGGUGAAAUCUCCGGGCUCAACCCGGAAACUGCCAUUGAUACUAUUUGUCUUGAAUACUGUGGAGGUCAGCGGAAUAUGUCAUGUAGCGGUGAAAUGCUUAGAUAUGACAUAGAACACCAAUUGCGAAGGCAGCUGGCUACACAAAUAUUGACACUGAGGCACGAAAGCGUGGGGAUCAAACCGG